rnacentral:misc_RNA from 1 species
GAUGAAGAACGCAGCGAAAUGCGAUAAGUAAUGUGAAUUGCAGAAUUCAGUGAAUCAUCGAAUCUUUGAACGCACAUUGCGCCCGCCAGUAUUCUGGCGGGCAUGCCUGUCUGAGCGUCAUUUCAACCCUCAUACCCCUAGGGCGUGGUGUUGGGGAUCGGCCAAAGCCCGCGAGGGACGGCCGGCCCCUAAAUCUAGUGGCGGACCCGUCGUGGCCUCCUCUGCGAAGUAGUGAUAUUCCGCAUCGGAGAGCGAUGAGCCCCUGCCGUUAAACCCCCAACUUUCCAAGGUUGACCUCAGAUCAGGUAGGAAUACCCGCUGAACUUAAGCAUAUCAAUAAGCGGAGGA